rnacentral:rRNA from 1 species
AUUGAACGCUGGCGGAAUGCUUUACACAUGCAAGUCGAACGGCAGCACGGGGCAACCUGGUGGCGAGUGGCGAACGGGUGAGUAAUACAUCGGAACGUGCCCAAUCGUGGGGGAUAACGUAGCGAAAGUUACGCUAAUACCGCAUACGAUCUACGGAUGAAAGCGGGGGAUCGCAAGACCUCGCGCGAAUGGAGCGGCCGAUGUCAGAUUAGGUAGUUGGUGGGGUAAAGGCUCACCAAGCCAACGAUCUGUAGCUGGUCUGAGAGGACGACCAGCCACACUGGGACUGAGGCACGGCCCAGACUCCUACGGGAGGCAGCAGUGGGGAAUUUUGGACAAUGGGCGCAAGCCUGAUCCAGCCAUUCCGCGUGCAGGAUGAAGGCCUUCGGGUUGUAAACUGCUUCUGUACGGAACGAAACGGCUCUCUCUAAUACAGGGGGCUAAUGACGGUACCGUAAGAAUAAGCACCGGCUAACUACGUGCCAGCAGCAGCCGCGGUAA